GAUGAACGCUGGCGGCGUGCUUAACACAUGCAAGUUGAACGGGUCAUAUGUGAAGGGUAACCGGAGUAUAUGGCUAGUGGCGAACGGGUGAGUAAUGCAUGAGAACGUAUCCUCAAGAGGGGGACAACAUUGGGAAACCGAUGCUAAUACCCCAUAAGCCGGGAGGUAAAAGGAGCAAUCCGCUUGAGGAGCGGCUCAUGUCCUAUCAGCUGGUUGGCGAGGUAACGGCUCACCAAGGCGAAGACGGGUAGCCGGCCUGAGAGGGUGAACGGCCACACUGGAACUGAGAGACGGUCCAGACUCCUACGGGAGGCAGCAGUGGGAAUAUUGGGCAAUGGGGGAAACCCUGACCCAGCGACGCCGCGUGAGGGAAGAAGGCCUUAGGGUCGUAAACCUCUGUUGUGUGGGAAGAAGAGCGUGACGGUACCACACGAGGAAGUCCCGGCUAACUACGUGCCAGCAGCCGCCGUAAUAC
rnacentral:rRNA from 1 species